rnacentral:rRNA from 1 species
UACGGAGGGUGCAAGCGUUAUUCGGAAUUACUAGGUGUAAAGGGCGCGUAGGUGGUUUGGAAAGUCAGGUGUGAAAUUCCACGGCUCAACUGUGGAUUUGCUUCUGAAACUUCCAGACUUGAGUAUAGGAGGGGAAAACGGAAUUCCCGGUGUAGCGGUGAAAUGUGUAGAUAUCGGGAGGAAUACCGAGGGCGAAAGCGGUUUUCUGGACUAAUACUGACACUAAGGCGCGAAAGCUAGGGGAG